GGCGGCGUGCUAUACAUGCAAGUCGAGCGAACGGACGAGAGUGCUUGCACUCUCUGAUGUUAGCGGCGGACGGGUGAGUAACACGUGGGUAACCUACCUAUAAGACUGGGAUAACUUCGGGAAACCGGAGCUAAUACCGGAUAAUAUUUAGCUUCGCAUGAAGCAAUAGUGAAAGACGGUUCUGCUGUCACUUAUAGAUGGACCCGCGGUGUAUUAGCUAGUUGGUGAGGUAACGGCUCACCAAGGCAACGAUACAUAGCCGACCUGAGAGGGUGAUCGGCCACACUGGGACUGAGACACGGCCCAGACUCCUACGGGAGGCAGCAGUAGGGAAUCUUCCGCAAUGGACGAAAGUCUGACGGAGCAACGCCGCGUGAGUGAAGAAGGUUUUCGGAUCGUAAAACUCUGUUGUAAGGGAAGAACAAGUACGUUAGUAACUGAACGUACCUUGACGGUACCUUACCAGAAAGCCACGGCUAACUACGUGCCAGCAGCCGCGGUAAUACGUAGGUGGCAAGCGUUAUCCGGAAUUAUUGGGCGUAAAGCGCGCGUAGGCGGUCUCUUAAGUCUGAUGUGAAAGCCCCCGGCUCAACCGGGGAGGGUCAUUGGAAACUGGGAGACUUGAGUGCAGAAGAGGAGAGUGGAAUUCCAUGUGUAGCGGUGAAAUGCGCAGAGAUAUGGAGGAACACCAGUGGCGAAGGCGGCUCUCUGGUCUGUAACUGACGCUGAGGUGCGAAAGCGUGGGGAUCAAACAGGAUUAGAUACCCUGGUAGUCCACGCCGUAAACGAUGAGUGCUAAGU
rnacentral:rRNA from 1 species